GGGCCCAUGGUCUAGUGGCUAUGACAACACCCUUACAAGGUGUGGAUCCCCAGUUCGAAUCUGGGUGGGCCCA
rnacentral:tRNA from 1 species